rnacentral:tmRNA from 1 species
GGGGGUGAAUUAGUUUCGACACAGGUAAGGGUGGCAGUGUAAGCGAGCCGAGGUCCCAUGCCUCGCUAAACAGUGGGAACCUAAAUUAAACGCAAACGAUAAUUACGCUCUAGCUGCUGCUUAACAGCGGCUACACUCUACCUUUCCGUGCCUACCGGCGGGGAUAGAGUGUCAUAAUGUAGGCUACCGCUCUAGGGAUGCUCAUAACUAGAGGGGGAAACCUGAUGAGCUAGUCGCUACCUAACCCUGCUCUUGGGGUCAGGCGGAGGCGAAUGCUAAACAAGAGCUACGCUCGUAGAAAGCAUUGUGGCUCCACUUGUGGACAGCGGUGCAACUCCGCUCACCUCCACCA